GGGCUUUGUGUGCGCAGCGCAAGAGCUGUGGAAAAUGUGUGCUGUCGAGUGAUUGCGCAAGUCGUUGCUAAAGGCACCGACGAUUGCAUAACACGGCACGCACAUUUCCACAGCCUGUGUCUAAAUCCCGCCGUGCUAGAAGCCAUGUAUUGGGAACUUGAGGACCAUGGCGUACCUACUCCAUCCGACCUGCACAAGAAGUACCGCUUCACGGCUUAUCGUUUAUUUACACGCUGGUGCUGGGGCCGACUGGGACGACGAAACCGUGUGGUGCUGCCAGCAUGUGUUGUAGGCCGUAUCCGCAAUGAAUUUCCAUCGGCCACCUAUGUCGGCUUUCACUAUCCAGCACUUUGAUGAAAAGGAUUUGGCCAACCUCCGUCGCCAGGACAGUAUACGUGCACUACUUUGCACUGUACCCUGGCGAGUCGCACCGGCCAUCUCCUGCAAUCUCUACACCAUCCUCAGGCAGGUCCUUCAGCAGCUGGUCUUGGCGCGUCUGGAAAAGCUGGACACAGGAGUAAAUGCAUUAGUGUGAGACCAUGAAUAAUCAUAGACCUCGUAGGAGAUGGCAUGGAAGCUACCUAUACAAGUAACAGUCAAUAUAUGUACUGCAUCAUCAUGAU
rnacentral:lncRNA from 1 species